GCCCUCGUGGAUUAUGAAGGUACAUCACCCAUUUAGUAUUGAACGUUUCUACUAUGCCAAUGGGCAGUGGGGGUUCAAGUCCCCCCGAGGGCA